rfam:Heterocephalus glaber contig140929, whole genome shotgun sequence.
CAGUGCAGUCACCCAUAAAGUAGAAAGCACUACUAACAGCACUGGAGGGUGUAGUGUUUCCUACUUUAUGGAUGAGUGUACUGU